CAAGCUUCUUCAAGCCUGAAUUGAACAAAAAAUGUCCGGGGAUUCUGCGCUCGCGGAGAACAUCGGGAGAGCUGUACUAGCAGCCAUCAGAACUCUUCCUCCCUCUGCAGCUUCAUCGGUGGCUGUGGCGGACGCUGUGGCGGACGCUAACCCUAACCCUAAUCUUCUUCCUCUUAGCUACACGUUUUCCCUCUGAGAUACCAACAAGACCAUCAAACCCAGGUGAGUACCAACACAAAAACACAAAAACUGUUAAUAGAUGUAAAACUGCGCUAAGAUUGUUAGUAGGUCAUGUAAUCAGUCCGUCACGUCUGUAAAAAUAUCGUAUUUGUUUUUGUUAAUCAGUGUAUGAAAACUCUCCUGGUGCUGAUGAAGACGAGUCCAUUUACGUCAACGUCCCGAGACAGAAAACUAACAGAGGUAAAUAUUUGAAGAUCACUGAGUGUUUAAUUUAUGUUUUUCAAAAUUCUUUCUUUCCCGUUUUUGUUGCUGAAGAACCAAAUAAAGUGAAUGAAAAACAAAAACAGUGUAUACGGAUCGUCUUCUGAUUGCCAUAACAUUCAGCAACCAAAAAAGUGAAGCUUCAUAAUUCUAGUUUAUAUUUUUACUAGAGAUUUCCUUUUUUUAUUGCAGGUUAUUCAGGCCAUGAAAAAAGAAAAUCAGGAGUUAAAACUGCAGAAAGAAAGAUGAGAGGUACGUAUAUAAAUGUUGAAUAGAUGACUGAUAGUUGAAUUUACGAACGACGUGUUAGAUGUCGUCCAUCAUGGUCAGUCAACUUUUUUCUUCAUUCACUUUGACAGUGAGUGAUUCAUGACACUUAAAAAACUGGAUAAAAUGAAUUAAAAGGAUUUUUAAAAGUUCAAUGCUAAUAUUGUCAGUAACUGGUCCAUGUUUUUUUAUACCUCAGUGUCUGGAGAGCCAAUUUUACCUGAACGAAAAAGAGCACAGCCAGGAAAAGGGAGAGGUAUUUCCCUCCAGUUUCUAAUUACAUCACACAUUUGAUAAAGAACAAAUUCAGCCAAUCAGGGCCAUUCUUGACAAAACGAAGUAAAUAAAGACAAUUUAAUCAAUGAAAUCUACAUCUAUGAAUGAAAAUGUGAAUGAAUGUUGAAUUUUUUUUUUUUUAUCUGAGCUUGUAUUUCUGAGUAACUUGUAAUUCUCUCGUGUCAUAGCUCCUGGAGGGGCAGCUGCACCAGACGCCAUAAAAGCCCAAGUGAGAAAGAAGAGGAGAGGUACUUUGAUAUUGUAUAGUGUUGUAUACUUAUAUAGGUUAUACAUUUUAUAUAAUCAUUAUCAUUUGGGUGAUCUUAUGGUAAUCAUAUCAUAAAUAACCUUUUUAAUCAGCUUCUUUAAUAAGCUGCCAAGUUGCUCAGUAUAUUUGGCUGAUAUGUAAACUCAGGUAUCAUCCGCGUAACGAUUCAUACAGUAGACAUCACACUUAAAUGUUAUACACAAAACUUAAGAUGCUUGUGUCUUAAUUCUGUGAUUUAGAUCAUUGCAACAUUGAAAUGAUGUUCGACAACAAUAAUCAGUUUAUAUUCCAAAUGUCUUUCAGGUGACAGAGAGCAGAAACACUGACAGACAAGGAAGAAACUACCGGAUAAAGUGAAAGUUCAAUCAUUUUUAAUUGUCAUUUUGAAAUUACAUUUAGAUUUACUUUUGCCUUUUGUUUGUCUGAAAGAGAAUGGCAGGUGGAUGUCUCAAACUGUGUAAUGAAUUAUAUCGCCAUGGAGACCUGACAUGGUUCAGGUCUUCAGACCAGACUCUCAUGUGAACCUCUGCUUUAAUACAGGAC